rnacentral:rRNA from 1 species
UACGGAGAGUGCUAGCGUUGCUCGGAAUUACUGGGCGUAAAGCGCGCGUAGGCGGCGUUUUAAGUCAGAUGUGAAAUCGCACGGCUCAACCGUGUCAAGUGCAUCUGAUACUGGAACGCUAGAGUGCGGCAGAGGAAAGUGGAAUUCCCGGUGUAGAGGUGAAAUUCGUAGAUACCGGGAGGAACACCAGUGGCGAAGGCGGCUUUCUGGGCCGACACUGACGCUGAGGCGCGAAAGCGUGGGGAGCAAACAGG